rnacentral:rRNA from 1 species
CACGUAGGGCGCAAGCGUUGUCCGGAAUUAUUGGGCGUAAAGAGCUCGUAGGCGGUCUGUUGCGUCCGCUGUGAAAACUCGGGGCUUAACCCCGAGCCUGCAGUCGAUACGGGCAGGCUAGAGUUCGGUAGGGGAGACUGGAAUUCCUGGUGUAGCGGUGAAAUGCGCAGAUAUCAGGAGGAACACCGGUGGCGAAGGCGGAUCUCUGGGCCAUUACUGACGCUGAGGAGCGAAAGCGUGGGGAGCGAACAGG